UGGCCACAUCAUGUAGAAACACUAGUUCUCAUAAGAUCACUGAUGUUAAGCAACAUCAAGUCUGGUCAGUACUUAGAUGGGUGAACACUUGAGAAUACCAGGUGCUGUAAG